AGUGAACGCUGGCGGUAGGCCUAACACAUGCAAGUCGAACGGCAGCACAGUAAGAGCUUGCUCUUACGGGUGGCGAGUGGCGGACGGGUGAGGAAUACAUCGGAAUCUACUUUUUCGUGGGGGAUAACGUAGGGAAACUUACGCUAAUACCGCAUACGACCUACGGGUGAAAGCAGGGGAUCUUCGGACCUUGUGCGAUUGAAUGAGCCGAUGUUGGAUUAGCUCGUUGGCGGGGUAAAGGCCCACCAAGGCGACGAUCCGUAGCUGGUCUGAGAGGAUGAUCAGCCACACUGGAACUGAGACACGGUCCAGACUCCGACGGGAGGCAGCAGUGGGGAAUAUUGGACAAUGGGCGCAAGCCUGAUCCAGCCAUACCGCGUGGGUGAAGAAGGCCUUCGGGUUGUAAAGCCCUUUUGUUGGGAAAGAAAAGCAGCAGGUUAAUACCCCGCUGUUCUGACGGUACCCAAAGAAUAAGCACCGGCUAACUUCGUG
rnacentral:rRNA from 1 species